AGCUGGCCCCGAGAUGAGUCAUCCCUAGAGCUUCGAGCUCUCUAAAGGGUUGUCGUAGACGACGACGUUGAUAGGCAGGGUGUGUAAGCGCUGUGAGGCGUUGAGCUAACCUGUACUAAUUGCCCGUGCGGCUUAACCAUACAACACCCAAG
rnacentral:rRNA from 1 species